CACGUAGGGCGCAAGCGUUGUCCGGAAUUAUUGGGCGUAAAGAGCUCGUAGGCGGUCUGUUGCGUCCGCUGUGAAAACCCGGGGCUUAACCCUGGGCUGGCAGUGGAUACGGACAGACUAGAGGUAGGUAGGGGAGAAUGGAAUUCCCGGUGUAGCGGUGAAAUGCGCAGAUAUCGGGAGGAACACCGGUGGCGAAGGCGGUUCUCUGGGCCUUACCUGACGCUGAGGAGCGAAAGCGUGGGGAGCGAACAGGAUUAGAA
rnacentral:rRNA from 1 species